rnacentral:rRNA from 1 species
UACGUAGGGGGCGAGCGUUACCCGGAUUUACUGGGCGUAAAGAGCGUGUAGGCGGCUGGCCAAGCGUGAUGUGAAAUCUUCGGGCUUAACCCGAAAACUGCAUUGCGAACUGGUCUGGCUAGAGUGUGUGAGAGGGUAGUGGAAUUCCCGGUGUAGCGGUGAAAUGCGUAGAUAACGGGAGGAACACCAGUGGCGAAGGCGGCUACCUGGCACAUAACUGACGCUGAUACGCGAAAGCGUGGGGAGCGAACCGG